GACGAACCGUGCGAACGUUAUUCGGAAUCACUGGGCUUAAAGCGCGUGUAGGCGGGCCGCCGCGUCGAGUGCUGAAAUCCCACGGCUCAACCGUGGAAGUGCACUCGAAACUGGAUGGCUAGAGUCCUGGAGAGGAAGGUGGAAUGCUUGGUGUAGAGGUGAAAUUCGUAGAUAUCAAGCGGAACACCGGUGGCGAAGGCGGCCUUCUGGACAGUGACUGACGCUGAGACGCGAAAGCGUGGGGAGCAAACAGG
rnacentral:rRNA from 1 species